rnacentral:rRNA from 1 species
CGGAGGAACAUGUGGUUUAAUUCGAUGAUACGCGAGGUAACCUUACCCGGGCUUAAAUUGCAGAGGACCGGCACAGAGAUGUGCUUUCCCUUCGGGGUCUCAGUGGAGGUGCUGCAUGGUUGUCGUCAGCUCGUGCCGUGAGGUGUCGGCUUAAGUGCCAUAACGAGCGCAACCCUUGCCAAUAGUUACUAACAGGUCAUGCCGAGGACUCUAUUGGGACUGCCAUCGUAAGAUGUGAGGAAGGUGGGGAUGACGUCAAAUCAGCACGGCCCUUACGUCCGGGGCUACACACGUGUUACAAUGGGAGGUACAGAAGGCUGCUACCCGGCGACGGGAUGCCAAUCCCCAAAACCUCUCUCAGUUCGGACUGGAGUCUGCAACCCGACUCCACGAAGCUGGAUUCGCUAGUAAUCGGGCAUCAGCCAUGGCG